rnacentral:rRNA from 1 species
GAUGAACGCUGGCGGCGUGCCUAAUACAUGCAAGUCGAGCGAACAGACGAGGAGCUUGCUCCUCUGACGUUAGCGGCUGACGGGUGAGUAACACGUGGAUAACCUACCUAUAAGACUGGGAUAACUUCGGGAAACCGGAGCUAAUACCGGAUAAUAUAUUGAACCGCAUGGUUCAAUAGUGAAAGACGGUUUUGCUGUAACUUAUAGAUGGAUCCGCGCCGCAUUAGCUAGUUGGUAAGGUAACGGCUUACCAAGGCAACGAUGCGUAGCCGACCUGAGAGGGUGAUCGGCCACACUGGAACUGAGACACGGUCCAGACUCCUACGGGAGGCAGCAGUAGGGAAUCUUCCGCAAUGGGCGAAAGCUUGACGGAGCAACGCCGCGUGAGUGAUGAAGGUCUUCGGAUCGUAAAACUCUGUUAUUAGGGAAGAACAAAUGUGUAAGUAACUAUGCACGUCUUGACGGUACCUAAUCAGAAAGCCACGGCUAACUACGUG